UGAUGGGUGCUGGCACUGCAGGUGGUAGCUUAAUGUGCUAUAUGCCACAGUGCUAGUCCCCAAAGACAUCUUUUUAAUGUAGUUUAAAUCACAUCAUUUUAAACCAAGAACCCUGUCAAUCCCCUGCUGGCCUCUGUGUCCAGAAUGGACACACACAGUACCUACCUGAGAGCUUUCAGACUCUAGACUUGGCUUGGAUGGGGAUGGUCUGGACUGGUCUUUGCUCCAGGAUGGCUUCUGUUACUUGACCAAAAAUUGUUAAGCGAAGGUUCUUGAGAAAAUGUGACAAGGAUUUAACAGCUUCCUCAGAGCCUUAAGACUGUUUCAGGUUGGAGUAGCAGAGCCUUGAUUUUAAAUUAUUCAAGGCUCAUGAUUUGGGAUUUUUGUCAGUUUUUGUUGUCAGCAGAGAGCAAAUCCUUUGGCAAAGUUAUAUUGCCUUCCAUCUUUGUAGAAUUAACAUUGGCUUGAGUCGCAUUUCUCUUGUAAGACUUUGCUGAAAGUGACAAGAAGCAGCUAGUGUAUUCUCACCAUUUUCUCUGAUACCUUGUCCUCAGUCUCAUUGCCCAAACACCAGUUACCUCAGUUAAGUGAACCACACCAUUUUAAGUCCUUUAGCACUUUCUGUACCUUUCUUCUAGUUAUCUAAUUUUGUACAAGUCAAGAUUCUUGGUUGGAGGUAACAGGAUCUUCUUAAAGAAGAUCCUUAUGUUUCCUUAAACAGAAAGAGGUUGGUUAAGGAAUCUAGGUAGGAUGGGGAAAAAUAGACACAGGCUGAGCUUCUAGGAGCUGCAUUGUAAGAGUGAACUGCCUGAGGAAGUGCUGUCUCUGAAUCGACCAAGAAGCUGCCUGCCAGAGGAAGACAUGAACAGUUGCCAGCUCCAGAACUGCAGCACCUCUGCCACGCUUGUGCAACUCAAGAUGGAUACCUCAUGUCCUGUCUCUUUCCUGAUGCAUCUCGGCACUGAGUGAAGUCUCAACUAUGUGAUAAAUCAAGAAAACGUUGGAACGGAGCCAGAAUGAGGAUGGCAUUCAUCAUCUUUGUGCAGAAGUG